rnacentral:rRNA from 1 species
UACGAAGGGGGCUAGCGUUGUUCGGAAUUACUGGGCGUAAAGCGCGCGCAGGCGGUCUUCCAAGUCAGUGGUGAAAGCCUGGAGCUCAACUCCAGAACUGCCAUUGAAACUGUUAGACUUGAGUACGGGAGAGGUGAGUGGAAUUCCCAGUGUAGAGGUGAAAUUCGUAGAUAUUGGGAAGAACACCGGUGGCGAAGGCGGCUCACUGGCUCGUAACUGACGCUCAGGCGCGACAGCGUGGGGAUCAAACAGG